GGGCGGUUUCUGCUGUGAAACG
rnacentral:miRNA from 1 species